AUUGAACGCUGGCGGCAUGCUUUACACAUGCAAGUCGAACGGUAACAGGCCGCAAGGUGCUGACGAGUGGCGAACGGGUGAGUAAUGCAUCGGAACGUGCCCAGUCGUGGGGGAUAACGCAGCGAAAGCUGCGCUAAUACCGCAUACGAUCUAUGGAUGAAAGCGGGGGACCGAAAGGCCUCGCGCGAUUGGAGCGGCCGAUGUCAGAUUAGGUAGGUGGUGGGGUAAAGGCCCACCAAGCCAACGAUCUGUAGCUGGUCUGAGAGGACGACCAGCCACACUGGGACUAAGAAACGGCCCAGACUCCUACGGGAGGCAGCAGUGGGGAAUUUUGGACAAUGGGCGCAAGCCUGAUCCAGCAAUGCCGCGUGCAGGAAGAAGGCCUUCGGGUUGUAAACUGCUUUUGUACGGAACGAAACGGUCCGGGUUAAUACCCUGGGCUAAUGACGGUACCGUAAGAAUAAGCACCGGCUAACUACGUGCCAGCCGCCGCAGUAACAC
rnacentral:rRNA from 1 species